ACUUUUGGAUUCUUCUUCAUGGGGUGUAUAUAGCUUGGUGGUUGGCUGGGUUAGGGGAGCCAACGUUUGAGCAGUUCAUGUACCUGUACUCCAUUUCGAAGCAGCAGGGGAAUUUUGGCUGGGUACAGGCUAAUUGCCGAAAGGCGAGGGAGAGGGGCUAUUUUAUUGGACACAAGCCCACAACGCAAAAGUCCUGGAGGAACAGGUGGUGCAUGGCCUAUGGGGACUGGGAGAGUCCUCCAGGGAAGAGCGUUGUCCAGCACAUUCCUACCCACUUCCAGUCUAUAGGUCCUUGGCCCCAUCCCUUAAGAUUGUCUAAUGCUUGAUUGUGUUGUUUUGGCUCC
rnacentral:lncRNA from 1 species